rnacentral:rRNA from 1 species
GAUGAACGCUGGCGGCGUGCUUAACACAUGCAAGUCGAACGGAAAGGCCCUGCUUUUGUGGGGUUCUCGAGGGGCGAACGGGUGAGUAACACGUGAGUAACCUGCCCUUGACUUUGGGAUAACUUCAGGAAACUGGGGCUACUACCGGAUAGGAGCUCCUGCUGCAUGGUGGGGGUUGGAAAGUUUCGGCGGUUGGGGAUGGACUCGCGGCUUAUCAGCUUGUUGGUGGGGUAGUGGCUUACCAAGGCUUUGACGGGUAGCCGGCCUGAGAGGGUGACCGGCCACAUUGGGACUGAGAUAGGCCCCAGACUCCUACGGGGGGCAGCAGUGGGGAAUAUUGCACAAUGGGCGGAAGCCUGAUGCAGCAACGCCGCGUGCGGGAUGACGGCCUUCGGGUUGUAAACCGCCUUAGCCUGUGACGAAGCGGGAGUGACGGUAAUGGGUAAAGAAGCACCGGCUAACUACGUG